rnacentral:rRNA from 1 species
AUUGAACGCUGGCGGCAGGCUUAACACAUGCAAGUCGAGCGCCCCGCAAGGGGAGCGGCAGACGGGUGAGUAACGCGUGGGAAUCUACCUUUUGCUACGGAAUAACUCAGGGAAACUUGUGCUAAUACCGUAUGUGCCCUUCGGGGGAAAGAUUUAUCGGCAAAGGAUGAGCCCGCGUUGGAUUAGGUAGUUGGUGGGGUAAUGGCCUACCAAGCCGACGAUCCAUAGCUGGUCUGAGAGGAUGAUCAGCCACAUUGGGACUGAGACACGGCCCAAACUCCUACGGGAGGCAGCAGUGGGGAAUAUUGAACAAUGGGCGCAAGCCUGAUCCAGCCAUGCCGCGUGAGUGAUGAAGGCCCUAGGGUUGUAAAGCUCUUUCACCGGUGAAGAUAAUGACGGUAACCGGAGAAGAAGCCCCGGCUAACUUCGUGCCAGCCGCCGCAGUAA